rnacentral:rRNA from 1 species
CGCUGGCGGCGUGCCUCAGACAUGCAAGUCGAACGAGAAAGUCCCCUUCGGGGGAUAAGUAAAGUGGCGCACGGGUGAGUAACACGUAGGUAAUCUACCUUCGGGUGGGGAAUAACCCAGGGAAACUUGGGCUAACACCGCAUAAUGCAGCGGCACCACAUGGUGACAGUUGUUAAAGCGGGGGAUUUUCGGACCUCGCGCCUGAAGAGGAGCCUGCGGCGGAUUAGCUAGUUGGUAAGGUAACGGCUUACCAAGGCGACGAUCCGUAGCCGGCCUGAGAGGGCGGUCGGCCACACUGACACUGACAUACGGGUCAGACUCCUACGGGAGGCAGCAGUCGGGAAUUUUGGGCAAUGGGCGAAAGCCUGACCCAGCAACGCCGCGUGAAGGAUGAAAUCCCUCGGGAUGUAAACUUCGCAAGAAUGGGAAGAAUUAGCGAGCGCUAAUACCGCUCGUGAUGACGGUACCAUUUGUAAGCUCCGGCUAACUCCGUGCCAGCAGCCGCGGUAAUACGGGGGGAGCAAGCGUUGUUCGGAUUUACUGGGCGUAAAGGGCGCGUAGGCGGUCAGCACAAGUCAGUUGUGAAGUCUCCGGGCUUAACUCGGAAAGGUCAACUGAUACUGUGCGACUAGAGUGCGGAAGGGGCAACUGGAAUUCUCGGUGUAGCGGUGAAAUGCGUAGAUAUCGAGAGGAACACCUGCGGCGAAGGCGGGUUGCUGGGCCGACACUGACGCUGAGGCGCGAAAGCCAGGGGAGCG